GAUGAACGCUGGCGGCGUGCCUAAUACAUGCAAGUCGAGCGAACGGAUAAGGAGCUUGCUCCUUUGAAGUUAGCGGCGGACGGGUGAGUAACACGUGGGUAACCUACCUAGAAGACUGGAAUAACUUCGGGAAACCGGAGCUCAUGCCGGAUAACAUUUGGAACUGCAUGGUUCUACAGUACAAGAUGGUUUUGCUAUUACUUAUAGAUGGACCCGCGCCGUAUUAGCUAGUUGGUAAGGUAACGGCUUACCAAGGCAACGAUACGUAGCCGACCUGGGAGGGUGAUCGGCCACACUGGAACUGAGACACGGUGCAGACUCCUAGGGGAGGCAGCAGUAGGGAAUCUUCCGCAAUGGACGAAAGUCUGACGGAGCAACGCCGCGUGAGUGAUGAAGGUUUUCGGAUCGUAAAACUCUGUUAUUAGGGAAGAACAAAUGUGUAAGUAACUGUGCACAUCUUGACGGUACCUAAUCAGAAAGCCACGGCUAACUACGUGCCAGCCGCCGCAGUAA
rnacentral:rRNA from 1 species